rnacentral:lncRNA from 1 species
AGAAGUUGAGACGAUCCCGUCCCGACGACAAUGUGCCUCCCCUCAGUCACGGCAUUACCAACCACCUUGUGUAUCCUCACAAUUUGCUUAGCAAAUUCAGGCUCCAUGAACCAACAAAGGUUCGUAACAUCAGAAAAAUAGCUCAUUGAUUGCCAUCCAGGGAUCACUAUUGUAGUCUUGUCCCCCAUUGGCUUCCAAUAUUGCUCAUACAUUGUCGGGUCACCACUACAUUAAUACCAUUAUAUAAAUCAACAUCAAAUUUUCAAAUUAAGGACAACGACCUCAGAUUCCCCAGGAGGCCAGAAUCGUCAAGAAAUCUAUCAGAGUAAGCAUUAAACAUAACCGCAGAGAGGGAAAAAGAUUGACAAACAGUAUGGAAAAGGGAACAGAAUGGAGGAAUCCUCACGUUUACUGGUUGUGCAACAGAUCAAUCAUGAACAAAAAUCUAGUUAGGACCCAAAAAGUGGAGGAACAACAUUCUAGAUCUAGACAAUUCUAAUUUCUCUCAAUGGAUCUAAAGGUGGGUUUGGUUUCCAAAGGCAAAAAACAUGCAAGAAUAACUCUUUUUACUUUUUUACAGUGUUCAUUAUUUACUUUGUUCUUAAUGGGCGGCCAAAAGUUAGAGCGUUUCCAAUUGAUUUUAGGCAACCCACGUAGCUCUUCACCCUCUGAAGAAAGUCAAAAGCAUAAAAUGGUGUUGCAUGCAAUGUGGAAUGUAGUCCACACCACUACCUUAGAUCACAAGAAGCUUUAAUGUGUACCUCAAAAUGAUGUCUCUAACAAUAAGAGUCUUUACGAUAAAAAAAAAAAAAGACCAAAACCAUGUUUUAGUAACAAACGAUAUUAUACUACUAUAGAGUUAUUUUAAGGUAUGUUAUCCCUAACCCUCUAUAUCCUUUUGCUUUUUGAGUGAAUACCCAUGAAUACCCAUUUAGGCUAAUAAAGUUCAUAUCAAUACUGAUUCUUCAAUGUCUACUCAACAUCUGAAAGACCUCUAUCUCACUAGCUUAAAUGGAAAAAAGAAGAAGAAUAAAAAGUUCUUUCAGUCAAAAAGACAAACACCAUAAUGGCAUUUCUUGGGGUCAACUUCAAAUCACCACCAUUCAUGGUGCAUGUUCUAACUUAAUCCAACAAAUUUGAAUAAUAUUUUCCUCACCAAACACACGUACUCCCCUAUAAACACGUCAUAUUGCAGCAACUUUAACUCGACAGAGUAUUAUAACAGUAAAAGCACAAGUCUCAAAGUAAAAAGAACAAAAGGGGCAAGAGUAGUUUCUAUUCUAAGUUCUAACCUUUCUAAUUCUUACCCUCGAAAGUCUCAAAUCCAAAAACAAAAGAGCUUCAGCUGUCUCUGUCUAUGUCUUCGUUUUGCAGCAACAAAAGGGGGUUGGGAUCUUCUUUCAAAAACCACUUUCUAGAGAAACUCCAUUAACUAAGCAUCCUCGUUUUAAUUUAUUAUUUAUUUGAAGAACUAACAUGUUUGUGUGCUACCACCAAAUAAAGUAAAAUAUUUUUUUAUUUUUCCAAAAUAUUACUGACAUUCCACACAAGGUUUUGCCUUUGACACCCCCAAAGCAAAGUCCACACCUAGAAAAGCUAGAAAAAGCUACUUAUACAUUGAAAUUACCCACUUACCCUUUCUCAUUAGAGGAAAAAAAAAAUGUCAAAUUGCAAAAGGAAUGACUUGUUCUCAGUGUGAGUAAUGAACUGCUCUGGAAAAAUAUGGAAAACAGUAUAUCAUAUUAGAAAUGACCAUGUCUUUCGUAACCUGAUAGUGUGUAUAGCCAUUUUAGGAACAAGUAAUUAGUGAUACAAGGCUGAAAAUAGACUACUAGAAAGAACACAAAUUUCAACUAGAUAUACUUUCCUAUCUGUGUUGAAAAAGAAAAAGAAAAGAACCAAAUGGAUUGAGAAUGAAUCAGAGAACUUACUGGUCAAGAUUAAUGACUCUAUCGGUCGCAAGAGGAGUUUGAGUUUCAGGAGCAGCCGCUGAUGGACAUGACAGAGAAGGUAAGGACAAAAAUGUCAUUUUGGCAACUUUAGCCCCUUUCUCGACCGCCAUUGAAGCUCCAUAGUGGAGCUUCUCAUUCUGAUUUACAGCUCUUAAAAUCAAACUCACAUUCAAAGCUAGAGACAGUACGAAGAAAUUCCUGAGUGAAACCACACCCAUUGUUUUUCGAAAAAAACAGAGUAUUGAAAAAGAAGAAACAGAGCAAAGAAGAAGGAAUCGAUGUGAAUGAGAAAUAAUGAAGGGAAAAGGGAGAAUAUAUAGCAAAAAAAGGAAGAUCAAAAUGCCAAAUGGAUGAAACGAUUUACAUAAGAGAUUUGAGUUUCCAAGGCAUGCAGAAUUCAGAAAUUAUGAACAUUCUCUUCUCUUGUACAGUCAAUGAAGUGAUUUUAUGACUAAAAUAUAGUUGAAUAUUGAAGUUUUUUGGACUUUAAAUAACAGUUUCGAAAACAAACCAUACCGAUUCUUCUGAACUCGUAAAACUUCAAAUUUUGAAAUCAGCUUUCGCCAUUUUCAACAAACUUUUCCCAAAAAUAGAAGUCGAAAUGGGUAUUACAGUGAAGAGAAAAACAAAAAAUUUAAAAGUUCAAAUGUUACUCAGUUUAGUCGCCAUUUUUUAAGCUUCAAAGGAACAGAAGUAAAGAGAGAGAAGUGAGAAAGCAAAAUUAGAAAAACAGAAUCGAAAAGGAUGAAGAGCAAUCUGAAGAACACAUCCGACAAAAAGAAUUUUCUUUUUUUCUUUCUCAAGAGUCAAAAAAUCCCGCCACGAUUUUCCGGGAAAUUGUGCACUCUCACUGCUCCAUACUCAUACACAAAGGAAAAGAACACACCUUUAUAUAUAUGUGUGUGUGUAUAUACUCCUCCACAUUGAACAUGGCCAUGUUUGGGUGUAGCUUAUGUUGCAUUAAAUUACAUCUUUUUCGAGAACUAAAGUAUACCCAUGUUUCAAAUUAUAAUGAUUUAGAAAAUACUUUUGAUCUUUAAUCUUAAUCUUAUUGGUAAUGAUUUAGCUUUUGAACAUUUAAUAUGUAACAAUUUCCUGGUUGAUACGAAAACUAAGAAAAUUGAAAGUAUAUGAAUUAAAUUAUAUUGAAUUGUUGCAUUAAGAAAAGUUUAGGGAAAAAGAUUAUAUAUUUGGCUCAUUAGGUAAUAGAAAUUUAAAGAUGAAAAAGUGAUUGAUUAACACGUGGUGAGUGUAAAAGGUUUGCACCUAAACUAUUUCCUAUUGUACAGCGAAAUCAUAACCACUGAAUAUCAAAAUAGGUUAACGAAAAAAGCUGCUCAAUAUUUUGUAAAACAAACGGCUCUCUAACCGAACGUGGAAUAUACGAUCAAAGUACCAUUUUGGUCAUUCAAGUUUUUUCAUUCUCUAUUCCUAUACUAAACCUUAAAUUUUGUUUAUUAAAUUAUUUUUUAAAAAUAACAACAAUUUUUAGGUUGAAAUUUUAUUUUAAACCAUAAAAACACUAAUAAUAGAAAUCACACCCAUACACGUCCAUUAAUGUCUAAAUAUACUAAAUUCAAGUUUUUUAAAAAAACACUAAAUUAGAAUUACCAAAAAUAUGAUUAAAUAAGUUCAGUAAGAAUGGACUAAAAUGAAGUUUAGUGAGAAAAAAAGUCAUUAGUUACAUUAGUGAUAGAGAAAAUUAAAGGAAUUUUAAUAAUUACAGCAUCGUUGUUAAUUUAUUAAUUAAUUUCAAAAUUGCUCUUAAAAAGAAUUAUAAAUGGUUUUCAUUAGAUCACUGUUUGAAGAAGUUUUUUCGUUACUAUUAAAUCAUCACAUAAUAAUACAUUUAUGGUAAACAAGAACGAGCAGAAAACAACGAAAAUACUAUCUUUAAAAUAAAAAGCAAAGUAAUAUGCAUUUCACCUAAUGUUACCACUUAUAUAUCAUUAAUCAUAACACAAAGUUUGACUUUCAUUAAAAUAAGCUUAUAACUAUAAUAAUAACUUUUAAUUUAAGUCCUACACACCAUAAUUUUAAUUAGGUAAACCAACAUUUGUUUAUUUUUAGUUUUUCUUAGGUAGAUAUGUAAGAAAUAGAACUUUUAAACCAAACACUAACUAGUGGAAUUACUAAUCUAUUUUUUUUUUUUUUCAAACAAAUGUCAUUAUGGGUGAGGUUAAUAAUGCAAAUAUUAUAUUGCACAAUUUCUUAAUAAUAAACUAACUUAAAUUUAGAAAAAUUGCAUCAAUGGCAAAAACAACUAAUAACACCAAUUCUUUUGCAUAUUAGACAAUAAUGUUAUGAGAGACUAUUAGACGCUAAACAUAUAGCUAUUAAAAGGUCAUCAAUUUUAAAUUUGCUAUUUUUACAAAUUUAGAAAAUAUUGUAAUCAUAGAUUCUAUUAUCAUAAUUUUUUUUGUUAUUUUUAUAAAAAUCUCGUAAAAUUAAGUUUUAUUGAAAGUACAAGUCAAUAAAACUUAUUGACAGAAUCUGAAAUUUUGUUAUUUUUGACAAUUAUAGAGUAGAAAUCAGACAAAUAAAAGUACAAAAUUUUUAAAAAAUAAUAUGAUUAUUAUUAUAAUAAAUUGAGAUCUUGCAACAUAAUCAAUAACAAAUAUUUCCCUUUCUCUCAUUUUCAUUUUGAAAUUUACAUUUGCAAGCCCAAAAACCCCCCAUUGCUUCAUCAACCUCUAAUGCCAUCUUAGCCAUUUACCAAUAUCAGAUGUCAUGACCUGAUCUGAGACAAUCUUUCAACAAAUAAAUUGUAGGUUUCUUCACGAUCCAACAUGCUAAUUCGAACAUAUUUCGAGCCAACGCCGAAAUGCUUCCCGCCACGGGUGAGAAUCUUGUGGCCUCGGAGAAAGCUCUCGCAAUCUUCAACGUUGUCUUGAUCACAUUUUAACCAUGCAAAAGCUGCAAGAAUAAUGGAACAAAACACACAGUCAAUAAUCUAAGAUUGCACAACUUUAAGUUAAAAAUAAAACAAGUAUACAAAGAUUUUGUUGUUCUUGCCAGGUUGAGUUCCCAAGUUGUUGUCAAAGAAGUUGCAAUGUGCAGGAGAAAAGUCAGGCAAACUAAAUAUGCCACUGCGUUUCACUGCCUCCCUUAGCAGCCUCCAUCGCUCGGUCAUGACGGUGUGGCUGAAAUGGAAGAAGGAUUCUGCAUACUCCGAACCACCGGCUUGUUCACAACUGUCAGAUACUACUUCGAGAACUUUGGCAGCUCGAAGCUGCGAGUCUUUGGACACACCAAUUGUAUUAAGCUCAAUGAAUUUGAUCAUUCUCUUUGCAACUUCAACAUCCUUCACAAGAGCCCACCUGAAAUUUGGAUGAAUAAUGGCAUUAGAAUUUGAAGAUGACUUCAUUUUCGCAUAGUCACGAAACUGUUCGUAGCUAACUAACCCAAUACGUAACCCAGCAUGUCCAGUACUUUUUGACACAGUGAAAAGCGACAAGUCGUUGUCAGCCGGGGUGGAUAUUGGAGUAUAUUGUGGCCAAUAAUAAGCAAGGUCGUGGACCAAUAUACCACCAGUUCGGUUCACCAUGGGAUGUCGAACAAAGCCAUCAGGAUUGUUGGGGGAGGUGACCAAUUCAAUGUAAGGCUCAUCCUUGUCAAAUACCUUCGCAUCACCAGCCCAUUUGUGGAUCCCCGACUUAACACAAUCGGUCAUUAAAGGGUAAGACUGCAAUUCAUUUGAUUAGGUUCAGUGAAUCAUUUUCUAACAUUCAUAUCAGUUCAAGAGAACAGAAACAUUUUACAAUUCAUACACGAAAGCAAUGUGUUAGUGAUUUGGAUCGGUCAAAGGCUAAGUGAAAGACCUAAUCAACUGUUAUACAACUAUGAACUUUUCCAGACUGUGCCACUUUAAUCAAAAGAACAUGUUUUAAUUCCUCGACAUUGCAAAUAAAUACAUAUAAGUUCCUGUUUUCUCAGUCCUCCCAUCAUUAAAGAAGAUAUCAGACAAUGCAUGUGGAACAACUAUUCAGAAUAAAGAAUGAACCUCCAAAACAGAAUAAACAAAUAAAAGAAACCGCUAUUGACUUUAUAAGAUUCUAAAUUAAACUAUAAUUGUUGAACAAGAAGCAAAAUACAGAAGCAAGGCAACAAACAGAAUCAAACACAACUAUGUGUCCUAUUCAAUUAAUCUCACCGAGUAGUACGGGGCUGUAGAGACCACGCUGAUUGGUUUGGAAGAAUCUUGUGGGGACAAUGCAUAGAGGGCAGCUAAGAGAAGUUGAGACGAUCCCGUCCCGACGACAAUGUGCCUCCCCUCCGUCACGGCGUUACCAACCACCUUGUGUAUCCUCACAAUUUGCUUGGCAAAUUCAGGCUCCAUGAACCAACAAAGGUUCGUAACAUCAGAAAAAUAGCUCAUUGAUUGCCAUCCAGGGAUCACUAUUGUAGUCUUGUCCCCCAUUGGCUUCCAAUAUUG